rnacentral:rRNA from 1 species
UUUUCUCGAAUUUAUAAGAGCUAAGAAUAUAUAAAUUUUAAUGUAGAAGAAUUAUUUAUAAUAUAUUUUUUGAUAUUAUACGUUAGUCGGGUAUAAAUAUAUCUAGUUUUUUAAGAAAUUAAUUUAAUUAAGCUAAUUGUGAGGGUGAUUUAUUUUGUAAAUAUACCUAAUAAUUAAGUAAUAUUUAAGGGGAUAAGCUUUUAAAUAGAAGUUUAAAAGAAGUUUAUAUUUUAAAGUUGAAUAGGAAUAGAAGUUUUCAUUUUUUGUAGUGUUUUAUAUCAAGACUUUAAUUUAAGUGAUUUGUUUUUUUUUAGUUUGUUUAUUAAAAUAUUAAAAUUAAUUUGAUAGUUUUAGGUAAUAAUGAUAAAAUUAGUAUAGAAAUUUGUUUAAGUGUUUAUGAAUAUAAAUUUUAAUUAAGGAAUUCGGCAAAUAUAUUUUCUGCCUGUUUAUUAAAAACAUGGCUUUUUGGGAAUAAUUUAAGGUCAGGCCUGCCCCAUGAUUAAUUAAAUGGCCGCGGUACUCUGACCGUGCAAAGGUAGCAUAAUCAUUAGUUUUUUAAUUGAAAGCUGGAAUGAACGGUCUUACAAGAAAAUUACUGUCUCAAUUAAAUGAUUUUAGAAUUUUAUUUUUUAGUUAGAAAGCUAAAAUGUUUUUAGGGGACGAGAAGACC